AAAUAAUGCUGGGGUACGAUGCGGAGCGAAAUUUAGUAGCGAAGUAGCUGAUUUCACACUGUCGAGAAAAGUCUCUAUCGAGGUUAAAGGUGCCUGUACCGCAAACCGACACAGGUGGGUGAGGAGAGUAUCCUAAGGCCAGCGAGAGAACUGUUGUUAAGGAACUCGGCAAAAUGACCCCGUAACUUCGGGAGAAGGGGUGCCUUCGAAAGAAGGCCGCAGAGAAUAGGCCCAAGCGACUGUUUACCAAAAACAUAGGUUUCUGCUAAGUCGCAAGACGAUGUAUAGGAGCUGACGCCUGCCCGGUGCUGGAAGGUUAAGGGGAUCUGUUAGAGCAAUCGAAGCAGUGAACUUAAGCCCCAGUAAACGGCGGCCGUAACGAUAACGGUCCUAAGGUAGCGAAAUUCCUUGUCGGGUAAGUUCCGACCCGCACGAAAGGCGUAACGAUUUGGGCACUGUCUCAACAACAGACUCGGUGAAAUUGUAAUACCGGUGAAGAUGCCGGUUACCUGCGACAGGACGGAAAGACCCCAUGGAGCUUUACUGUAGCUUGACAUUGAGUCUCGGUGCUACAUGUACAGGAUAGGUGGGAGACUAUGAAGCAUGGACGUCAGUCUGUGUGGAGUCAUCCUUGGGAUACCACCCUUGUAGUACUGGGAUUCUAACCAGAGGCCAUGAAUCUGGUCUUGGGACACUGUCAGGUGGACAGUUUGACUGGGGCGGUCGCCUCCCAAAAAGUAACGGAGGCGCUCAAAGGUUCUCUCAGUACGGUCGGAAAUCGUACGAAGAGUGUAAAGGCAAAAGAGAGCUUGAUUGCAAGACAUACAGGUCGAGCAAGGACGAAAGUCGGACUUAGUGAUCCGGUGGUUCCGCAUGGAAGGGCCAUCGCUCAACGGAUAAAAGCUACCCUGGGGAUAACAGGCUGAUCUCCCCCAAGAGUCCACAUCGACGGGGAGGUUUGGCACCUCGAUGUCGGCUCAUCACAUCCUGGGGCUGUAGUAGGUCCCAAGGGUUGGGCUGUUCGCCCAUUAAAGUGGUACGCGAGCUGGGUUCAGAACGUCGUGAGACAGUUCGGUCCCUAUCCGUCGCAGGCGUAGGAAAUUUGAGGAGACCCGUCCUUAGUACGAGAGGACCGGGAUGGACGUACCGCUGGUGUACCAGUUGUUCUGCCAAGGGCGUGGCUGGGUAGCUAAGUACGGAAAGGAUAAGCGCUGAAAGCAUCUAAGCGCGAAGCCCACUUCAAGAUAAGAUUUCCCACCGCAAGGUUAAGAUCCCAGGAAGACUACCUGGUUGAUAGGUCAGAGGUGCAAGUGCAGUAAUGUAUUUAGCUUACUGAUACUAAUAGAUCGAGGACUUGACCU
rnacentral:rRNA from 1 species